GGAUUUGAGGGUGUCAUUUUUCUUUUAUUUUUUCUUUUGAUUUUUUUUUUUUGAUUAUUUUGAUUUUGUUUUUCACCCCUCUUUCUUUUUUAUUACAUUUGUAAUGCCCCAGUUUGACUGUUGUUGGGUUCUUGAGAUGCAGCUGAAUAAUCUGCUUUUCAUUGCUCAAGUGUACGGGAAAUCUCGUCAGGAAUCCCUUCAACAUCAUCUUCCUCUGCCUCAAAUAUAGGGAAUUCAAAAUUGGGAGAUGGC
rnacentral:lncRNA from 1 species